rnacentral:lncRNA from 1 species
AAGAUAAUUUAAUCUCAGCAGGUAUUGCUGGAGCAAGAAAAGAUGUCUCUAUUUGUACAUCAUGCCAUAAUGAUGGAAUAAAUUAAGCUUUAUACUUGACAAUGGAACAUUGCAGGAGGGUGGUGCCUUUACAUUACCUUAUUUACAUACAUACAGAGGGUCAGCUAAGACUGUUUUCAACUCUUGGAGAUAAAAUUCGAAUUGGAAGUUUGGCUGUGUGUAUCUAG